AGGGGAUUAGUUUUAACGGUAAAACAGCGGUCUCCAAAACCGCAUUUGCGGGUUCGAUUCCUGUAUCCCCUGCCA
rnacentral:tRNA from 1 species